rnacentral:rRNA from 1 species
AAUAGAUACCCGGGUAGUCCAUGCCGUAAACGUUGGGCACUAGGUGUGGGGGACAUUCCACGUUUUCCGCGCCGUAGCUAACGCAUUAAGUGCCCCGCCUGGGGAGUACGGCCGCAAGGCUAAAACUCAAAGGAAUUGACGGGGGCCCGCACAAGGCGGCGGAGCAUGCUGAUUAAUUCGAUGCAACGCGAAGAACCUUACCAAGGCUUGACAUGCACCGGACGGCUGCAGAGAUGUGGCUUUCUUUGGACUGGUGCACAGGUGGUGCAUGGUUGUCGUCAGCUCGUGUCGUGAGAUGUUGGGUUAAGUCCCGCAACGAGCGCAACCCUCGUUCUAUGUUGCCAGCACGUGAUGGUGGGGACUCAUAGGAGACUGCCGGGGUCAACUCGGAGGAAGGUGGGGACGACGUCAAAUCAUCAUGCCCCUUAUGUCUUGGGCUUCAAGCAUGCUACAAUGGUCGGUACAAUGGGUUGCGAAACUGUGAGGUGGAGCGAAUCCCAAAAAGCCGGCCUCAGUUCGGAUUGGGGU